AUUUAAAUAGCUUAAAAUUUAGAGCGUAAUAUUGAAGAUAUUAAGGUAAUAUUUAUAUUUUUAAAUA
rnacentral:tRNA from 1 species